UGGACAGAUUAUUGUAUUCGACUGUAUUCACGGCGUGAAACAGGUGAUUACACUGUUUUUAAACGGAAAGUGAAUCAAUUAACAUAAUAGACUCCU
rnacentral:pre_miRNA from 1 species